rnacentral:rRNA from 1 species
AUAUUGCUGGUUCAACCUGCCCAAUGUAGAUAGUGAAAUGAAUGGCCGCGGUACUCUGACCGUGCUAAGGUAGCGUAAUCAGUUGGCUUUUAAAUGGAGUCAGGAAUGAAUGGGAUAACCUGGUCUAGCUGUCUUGAAGUCAUUAUCUUGAAUUUACUGUUUAAGUGAAAAAGCUUAUUUAAGAAAAAGGGACGAGAAGACCCUUAGAAUUUUAUCCAAAAAGACACAAUUUGUCUUUACGAUUUUGUUGGGGCGACAAAGAGAUAUAUUUAAACUCUCUUAGUAAGACAAUCCGAAAUUUUUAAUCAAGAAUAAAUUACCUGAGGGAUAACAGCAUAAUUCUAAAAUUGAGUUUGUGACCUCGAUGUUGGACUAGGAAACUAGCAGGCCAGCCGUUUGCUUUGUGGGUUCUGUUCGAACUUUAAUUCCU